rnacentral:lncRNA from 1 species
AUGAUGUUGACUAGGUUGAGGACAUGAUAGUGGCAAUGAAGAAGGUUGCUGUAAUGCUGUUGGACGAAGUUGUUAAGUCUCAACAUGGCUGCUCUGUGGUGGUAUUGUCUGGCAUUAUCACUGGAACUGGCUGUGUCUUUGUGGUCAGUGGCUUAGACCUUAAAAGGUCUGGAACUAAAGAUAUUUCUUUAUUACGAUUAUAAAAAUCGGUACACAGAAUUACAAAUACAGGACAUACAUACAAAAACAUUUAAGAGAAUCGUUUAAAAAUUGUUAACCUCCUCCACACAAGGUAGUUGGGCCUCUUUGGACACGAUGAGGGUGACGUCAUCCGCGUAAGCAGUCACCGUCCUCCCACCUCCGAUUUCAUCCGAGUUAGGUCUGGAACUAAAGAUUCCGGAACAAGGAAAAGCUGAGUUUUAUAAGGAGGUG